rnacentral:rRNA from 1 species
CCUACGGGAGGCAGCAGUGGGGAAUCUUGCGCAAUGGACGAAAGUCUGACGCAGCGACACCGCGUGCGGGAUGACGGCCCUCGGGUUGUAAACCGCUUUCAGCAGGGACGAAAUUGACGGUACCUGCAGAAGAAGCCCCGGCCAACUACGUGCCAGCAGCCGCGGUAAU